UUGGGAGUGUUGGAAACCAUGGGAGGUGAGGCCUCAUUGGAAGAGGUGGUCACUGAGAGCCACGCCUUUGAUGUGCCCCCGAGGACUCCUGUUUUUGGUGCCACACUCCCAGUCUGCUCCCUGGCCACCAUUAGAUUAACUUCAUUCUGAAAUAAUCCAUUUAAAAUCUAUCAAAGUCAAGUUAACAAGCAGCAGCUUCAAUGUCAGGCAUCACCUCAAGCUCUUCUGAUCCAGCACAAUCCCAAAGCUGCAGCCGGAGCCAACCCACAACCCCCUGUUCAUUAGACAGCCAUCACACUUCACCUGCUCUGGCACCUGCAGACAUCACCACCUGGCUUUUCUCAUAUCUCCUUGUGGAUUCAUGCUACAAGACUCAUUUGAUGAUUGUGAUAAUUCACAGAAGUUUAAUAUCCGGGGGAUUCUACUAAGUGUGAAAAGUCCAUGCCAAGUGCUGAAGCCUGUUUGAAACAUCUAAAACUUCGCCUGCACACUGCCACUUCUCCUCACUGGAAACUGUCAAAAGAUAACAAGGAACCAGAAGAAAGCAAAGAGUACUCCCCCGAGGGCUGCAGUAACCCCCCCUGUGUAGAACUGAAAUCAUGAAGAAAUGUUAACAUCGUGAUUGGCAAAAUGUUCUUGGAAAUUAAACCUAGGUGCAAAUGGUGUGGAGCACAAACUGCCUAGCCUGCAUCAAGUGAAGCCCGGGGGGCCAGCCUGUCCCUGAGGACAGUCAGGACUCACAUGUCUCUCUCUGGGAUUGGAACUUCUCUCAAAGCACUUAGCCAGGCCUGUGCUCAUUCUUAAGAGGGCAAUGCACUCAUGUCAACCGAGAAUCACAUGGACUAUGGAACUCACUCAUACUGGCACAGAGGGGCUCACAGUGGUGUUGACAGACUUGGAUUAGUGGCAGCUGUGUGAUUAUUAUAACCAAGGCUCUUGCUCACUCUGAGGCAAGACUACAGGCUCACAAGAGUAAGGAAAGCCUGCAUUACAGGUUCUUCUUGGACACGAGACAUCAGCAAGCUGUGCCAUUCAGGAACUGCAAGGGGAAAGGGGGAGUUUGCCCCAUGAAGAAAGAUAAGCCUAGAAGUAAUUCAUUUCCACUACGUUUCAGAAGAUAUUUACAGCCUGAAGACUGCUUACCUACAGAGACUGCUCCUACCUGAAUUAAUCCCAACCAGUUUCCCCUUCUCUGUUGGCAACAGGUAUUUACUGUAGUGAACACAUGACUUCAACAAAACUGCCUCCAACUGCAGGUGAAAAUGUCUGGUAUUUGGCUGAAACAAUCACACGGACAAAGAAGAAACAUAUCUCUGGGAAUGAAGACCAACACGACUGACCAACUGGACAACUGACCAGGCUCUGCAGAUCCCAGCCAAACCAGGCAUCUCAGAUUCUAUGAGGGUGGAGAUGAUGUCAGCUAAGGCUCCAGUACCUGACACCUGUGAUGUCUGGUGCACUCAGGGGGGUGCCGGAGUCUGGAUGCUUUUUGCUUUCCAUCAUUUUCUCAUAAGUUGCUGCUAUAUCAACAAGUCCACACAUCAAUAAUUAAAUAAUACAAGAAAAUUAAAAAGAAAAAUAAGCCGGGCAUGUGGCACACACCAGCAUUCUCAGCAAGCACGAGGCUGAUAUGGGAGUGAAAGUGUG